GGGCGUCUAGUAUAGUGGUCAGUACACUUCGUUGUGGCAUGAGAAGGAAUACAAAUUCCCAGAGAAACACCAUCUCAAGGUUGUGGGUUCGACCCCCACGUCGGGCU